rnacentral:rRNA from 1 species
CUACGGGGGGCAGCAGUGGGGAAUAUUGGACAAUGGGGGAAACCCUGAUCCAGCAAUGCCGCGUGUGUGAAGAAGGCCUUAGGGUUGUAAAGCACUUUCACCCGUGAAGAUGAUGACGGUAGCGGGAGAAGAAGCCCCGGCUAACUCCGUGCCAGCAGCCGCGGUAAUACGGAGGGGGCUAGCGUUGUUCGGAAUUACUGGGCGUAAAGCGCGCGUAGGCGGCGCAUCGAGUUAGGCGUGAAAGGCCUGGGCUUAACCUGGGAACUGCGCUUAAUACUGGUGUGCUUGAGUCCGGAAGGGGGUGGCGGAAUUCCCAGUGUAGAGGUGAAAUUCGUAGAUAUUGGGAAGAACACCGGUGGCGAAGGCGGCCACCUGGUCCGGAACUGACGCUGAGGUGCGAAAGCGCGGGGAGCAAACAGGAUUAGAUACCCUCGUAGUC